AGAUUGAAGUGAAGAUAUGAAAACACAAAUACUUGAAAAGUUACAUUCCUGGAAAAGAGAGACACAGAGAAGCUGACAGAGAAAGCUGAUGCUCAGGAGUACACUAAGAACCUUCAGAGGAAGAUUAUGCCAUACACAGUCAGGUGGCAUUUGUCCAGAAGCUGACAUGUCCUUUCAUUGCUAAAAACCUUGGUUUGGAAUGGAAUGGAGUCAAGUACAGGAAGGAAAAGAUUAUGGAAACAGUAAGAAUUUGAGACCUCAGCGAUCUUCAGACACAAUAAAACAUUUUCUCCUGUUAUCAGCAGCCAUAAAAAACAUAGAGAUGCUGCAACCCAAGUACCCAAGUGAAGGCACAGUUCCAUCUGAGAAUGCUUUGGGUUCCAGAAGGUUCAGGUUCACAGCAUGAACUUAGAG